rnacentral:rRNA from 1 species
UACACAUGCAAGUCGAACGGCAGCACAGAGGAAGCUUGCUUUCUUGGGUGGCGAGUUGGCGAAACCGGGGUUGAGUUAAAUAAUAAUUCGGGAAAACGUACGAGUUAAAUGGGGGGAUAUAACUUAUUCGAGAAUAGCCUUAAAUACCGCAUAUUACCUCUGAGGAGGAAAGCAGGGGACCUUCGGGCCUUGCGUUAUUCGAGCGGCCGAUAUCUGAUUAGCUAGUUGGUGGGGUAAAGGCCUACCAAGGCGACGAUCAGUAGCGGGUCUGAGAGGAUGAUCCGCCACACUGGGACUGAGACACGGCCCAGACUCCUACGGGAGGCAGCAGUGGGGAAUUUUUGGACAAUGGGCGCAAGCCUGAUCCAGCCAUGCCGCGUGUCUGAAGAAGGCCUUCGGGUUGUAAAGGACUUUUGUCAGGGAAGAAAAGGUCUGUUGCUAAUAUCGACAGCUGAUGACGGUACCCUGAAGCAAUAAGCACCGGCUAAC